rnacentral:rRNA from 1 species
AUUGAACGCUGGCGGCAUGCUUUACACAUGCAAGUCGGACGAGUGGCGAACGGGUGAGUAACGCAUCGGAACGUACCGAGUAAUGGGGGAUAACUGUCCGAAAGGACAGCUAAUACCGCAUAUUAUUCGAGCGGCCGAUAUCUGAUUAGCUAGUUGGUGGGGUAAAGGCCUACCAAGGCGACGAUCAGUAGCGGGUCUGAGAGGAUGAUCCGCCACACUGGGACUGAGACACGGCCCAGACUCCUACGGGAGGCAGCAGUGGGGAAUUUUGGACAAGGGGCGCAAGCCUGAUCCAGCCAUGCCGCGUGUCUGAAGAAGGCCUUCGGGUUGUAAAGGACUUUUGUCAGGGAAGCGGUACCUGAAGAAUAAGCACCGGCUAACUCCGUGCCAGCAGCCGCGGUAAUUC